rnacentral:rRNA from 1 species
CGGCGAGCGAAGCGGGAAGAGCUCAAAUUUGAAAGCUGGCGUCCUACGGGCGUCCGCAUUGUAAUCUAUAGAGGCGUUUUCUGUGCUGGACCGUGUCCAAGUCCCUUGGAACAGGGUAUCAAAGAGGGUGACAAUCCCGUACUUGACACGACAACCAGUGCUCUGUGAUACGUCUUCUACGAGUCGAGUUGUUUGGGAAUGCAGCUCAAAAUGGGUGGUGAAUUCCAUCUAAAGCUAAAUAUUGGCGAGAGACCGAUAGCGAACAAGUACCGUGAGGGAAAGAUGAAAAGCACUUUGGAAAGAGAGUUAAACAGUAUGUGAAAUUGUUGAAAGGGAAACGAUGGAGGUCAGUCGUGUCUGUGGGAUUCAGCCGUCUCUGGCGGUGUACUUCCCACAGACGGGUCAACAUCAGUUUUGGCUGGCGGAUAAAGGCAGGAGGAAGGUGGCGCCCUCGGGUGUGUUAUAGCCUCUUGUUGCAUACGCUGG